CUGGAUUUCCUUCCUGCCGGUGUGCCCAGGCCGUCUUCCAACAGCGGAUAAGGAGAGCAGAAGGGAGAGUGUUGGACUUUCAGUGGAUGCCAUUUACACCGUAGAAUGUGAUGAAAAUCUUCGGUCAGCUAGUGAUUGUGGCUAUCCGUCUGUGACAUGACCACAGCCCUGCAGCAUUUACAUACACGUUCCUACAGUAGUGCUGAAUGGACAUCUAAGCUGGCAAAGGAAAAGAGCCUCACCCGCUGACUUUAAGGACCUGACCAUCCUCUCAGAUAUACAGAAGAAAUAGAAGUACCUCACAUGGAUUAUCUGGUACAGUUUCACUAAUGUAUAGCAUGCACAGAACCCCAGUUCUUUG
rnacentral:lncRNA from 1 species